CCUACGGGAGGCUGCAGUGGGGAAUAUUGGACAAUGGGGGCAACCCUGAUCCAGCCAUGCCGCGUGUGUGAAGAAGGCCCUCGGGUUGUAAAGCACUUUCAGUGAGGAAGAACGCCUGGUGGUUAAUACCCGUCAGGAAAGACAUCACUCACAGAAGAAGCACCGGCUAACUCCGUGCCAGCAGCCGCGGUAAUACGGAGGGUGCGAGCGUUAAUCGGAAUUACUGGGCGUAAAGCGCGCGUAGGUGGCUUGAUAAGCCGGUUGUGAAAGCCCCGGGCUCAACCUGGGAACGGCAUCCGGAACUGUCAAGCUAGAGUGCAGGAGAGGAAGGUAGAAUUCCCGGUGUAGCGGUGAAAUGCGUAGAGAUCGGGAGGAAUACCAGUGGCGAAGGCGGCCUUCUGGACUGACACUGACACUGAGGUGCGAAAGCGUGGGUAGCAAACAGGAUUAGAUACCCUUGUAGUC
rnacentral:rRNA from 1 species